GAUGAAGAACGUAGCGAAAUGCGAUACUUGGUGUGAAUUGCAGAAUCCCGUGAACCAUCGAGUCUUUGAACGCAAGUUGCGCCCGAAGCCACUAGGCCGAGGGCACGCCUGCCUGGGCGUCACACGCCGUUGCCCCCCCAUCUACUCCUUCGGGAUUGCGGGGGGGCGGAUGAUGGCCUCCCGUGCGCCUAGCCGCGCGGUUGGCAUAAAUACCAAGUCCUCGGCGACGCACGCCACGACAAUCGGUGGUUCGAAACCUCGGUUGCCCGUCGUGUGCGUUCGUCGCGCAUCGAGGGCUCGAAAAAAUGCUCGGCUCCGGCUGGGCUUUCAACGCGACCCCAGGUCAGGCGGGGUUACCCGCUGAAUUUAAGCAUAUCAAUAAGCGGAGGA
rnacentral:misc_RNA from 1 species